rnacentral:lncRNA from 1 species
AGGGGACAGACAGAUCCGAAAUUUUUUUUUGAUCGAUUUUGAUAUAUGGAACAUUGAAAUUAGAGCUCGUAUGCGAAAGUUAUGGCUAUUUUACGAACGAACUCCAAAUUAGAGGACAAAACGGUGCGAAAGUGGGCAAAAUUUACGGUGGUGGCUAGAAAUUGAUGGAAACGGUGGGAGAAAAUACAUGAACUGGACUCUAACAAGACCUAUCCAGCAACAAGACCUCGACGAGGACACAAACUCAACACUGCGGACUCUAAAACUGAAAUAUGCAAAGGCUAUGGCGUGGAAGGGUUGUAUGACAGAAAAACGAUAUGACACUGGACUUAUGGGACGAACACAAGAACACUCGAAACUAAGGGUAGAUUUGAACCUAAUGGUAUAUCUAAAUCUUUGAUUUCCACAUGAUGAGAACAAGGGUGACCCGAUCUUCUGAAAGGUUCUAGUAACUCUCGAUUUGGUGGAGACGAGACACAAAUCGAUCCGGGUUUCGAACAACACGAUCCGAAACCCUACAAUUUUUUUACUUUUUUGAUAUUUUUCUUUUAGUUAGAGCACCAAUGGAGUAACCACAGAAAAUUUGAGCUUAAACCAGUGAAAAACAUGGCCUACGAAAAUUUCUGAAAAUUGUGAAAAAUGUGAAAAAACAUCACGAGGUGAAAACUCAAACUUCGGAGGUGAAUUUGGAGGUUCUAAAUUUUCAAACCUACCAAUGGAGUGACAAACAGAUCCAAAAUUUUUUUCUAAUCGAUUUUGAUAUAUGGAACGUUGUAAACGGAGCUCGUAUGUGAAAGUUAUGGCUAUUUUACGAACGGACUCCAAGUUAGAGGACAAAACGGUCCGAAAGUGGGAAAAAUUUGCGGUGGUGGCUAGAAAUUGAUGGAAACGGUGGGGGAAAAUACAUGAACUGGACUAUAACAAGACCUAACCAGCAACAAGACCUCGACAAGGACACAAACUCAACACUGCGGACUCUGAAACUGAAAUAUGCAAAGGCUAUGACGCGGAAGGGUUGUAGGACAAGAAAACGAUAUGACACAGGACUUAUGGGACAAACCAAGAACACUCGAAACUAAAGGUAGAUGUGAACCUAACGGUAUACCUAAAGCUUUGAUUUCCACAUAUGAGAACAAGGGUGACUCGAUCUUCUGAAGUUCUGGUAACUCUCGAUUUGGUGGAGACGAGACACAAAUCGAUCCGUCUUCCGAACAACACGAUCCGAAACCCUGCAUUUUUUUUUUGAUAUUUUUCCUUUAGUUAGAGCACCAAAGGAGUGACCACAGAAAAUUUGAGCUUAAACUAGUGAAAGACAUGGUCUACAAAAAUUUCUGAAAAUUAUGUAAAAUGUGAAAAAAAAACAUCACGAGGUGAAAACUCAAACUUCAGAGGUGAAUUUGGAGGUUCUAAAGUUUUCAAACUCGCCAAUGGAGGGGACAGAGAGAUCCGAAAUUUUUUUCUGAUCGAUUUUGAUAUAUUGAACGUUGAAAUCAGAGCUCGUAUGCGAAAGUUAUGGCUAUUUUACAAACAGACUCCAAAUUAGAGGACAAAAUGGUCCGAAAGUGGGAAAAAUUUGCGGCGGUGGCUAGAAAUUGAUGGAAACGGUGGGGGAAAAUACAUGAACUGGACUCUAACAAGACCUAACCAGCAAUAAGACCUCGACGAGGACACAAACUCAACACUGCGGACUCUGAAACUGAAAUAUGCAAAGGCUAUGACGUCGAAGGGUUGUAGGACAAGAAAACGAUAUGACACUGCACUUAUGGGACGAACACAAGAACACUCAAAACUAAGGGUAGAUGUGAACUUAAUGGUAUACCUAAAGCUUUGAUUCCCACAUGAUGAGAACAAGGGUGACCCGAUCUUCUAAAAGGUUCUGGUAACUCUCGAUUUGGUGGAGACGAGACACAAAUCGAUCCGGCUUCCGAACAACACGAUCCGAAACCCUGCAAUUUUUUUUAUUUUUUUGAUAUUUUUAUUUUAGUUAGAGCACCAAAGGAGUGACCACAUAAAAUUUGAGCUUAAACCAGUGAAAGACAUGGCCUACGAAAAUUUCUGAAAAUUGUGAAAAAUGUGAAAAAAACAUCAUGAGGUGAAAACUCAAACUUCAGUUGUGAAUUUGGAGGUCCUAAAAUUUGCAAACCAGCCAAGGGAGGGGACAGACAGAUCCGAAAUUUUUUUCUGAUCGAUUUUGAUAUAUGGAACAUUGAAAUCGGAGCUCGUAUGCGAAAGUUAUGGCUAUUUUACGAACGGACUCCAAAUUAGAGGACAAAACGGUGCGAAAGUGGGCAAAAUUUACGGUGGUGGCUAGAAAUUGAUGGAAACGGUGGGGGAAAUUACAUGAACUGAACUCUAACAAGACCUAACCAGCAACAAGACCUCGACGAGGACACAAACUCAACACUGCGGACUCUAAAACUGAAAUAUGCAAAGGCUAUGGCGUGGAAGGGUUGUAGGACAGAAAAACGAUAUGACACUGGACUUAUGGGACGGACACAAGAACACUCGAAACUAAGGGUAGAUUUGAACCUAAUGGUAUAUCUAAAUCUUUGAUUUCCACAUGAUGAGAAAAAGGGUGACCCGAUCUUCUGAAAGGUUCUGGUAACUCUUGAUUUGGUGGAGACGAGACACAAAUCGAUCCGGGUUCCGAACAACACGAUCCGAAACCCUACAAUUUUUUUUUAUUUUUUUGAUAUUUUUCUUUUAGUUAGAGCACCAAUGGAGUAACCACAGAAAAUUUGAGCUUAAACCAGUGAAAAACAUGGCCUACGAAAAUUUCUGAAAAUUGUGAAAAAUGUGAAAAACAUCACGAGGUGAAAACUCAAACUUCGGAGGUGAAUUUGGAGGUUCUAAAUUUUCAAACCUACCAAUGGAGUGACAAACAGAUCCAAAAUUUUUUCUGAUCGAUUUUGAUAUAUGGAACGUUGUAAACGGAGCUCGUAUGUGAAAGUUAUGGCUAUUUUACGAACGGACUCCAAGUUAGAGGACAAAACGGUCCGAAAGUGGGAAAAAUUUGCGGUGGUGGCUAGAAAUUGAUGGAAACGGUGGGGGAAAAUACAUGAACUGGACUCUAACAAGACCUAACCAGCAACAAGACCUCGACAAGGACACAAACUCAACACUGCGGACUCUGAAACUGAAAUAUGCAAAGGCUAUGACGCGGAAGGGUUGUAGGACAAGAAAACGAUAUGACACAGGACUUAUGGGACGAACCAAGAACACUCGAAACUAAAGGUAGAUGUGAACCUAACGGUAUACCUAAAGCUUUGAUUUCCACAUAUGAGAACAAGGGUGACCCGAUCUUCUGAAGUUCUGGUAACUCUCGAUUUGGUGGAGACGAGACACAAAUCGAUCCGUCUUCCGAACAACACGAUCCGAAACCCUGCAUUUUUUUUUGAUAUUUUUCUUUUAGUUAGAGCACCAAAGGAGUGACCACAGAAAAUUUGAGCUUAAACUAGUGAAAGACAUGGCCUACAAAAAUUUCUGAAAAUUAUGUAAAAUGUGAAAAAAAAACAUCACGAGGUGAAAACUCAAACUUCAGAGGUGAAUUUGGAGGUUCUAAAGUUUUCAAACUCGCCAAUGGAGGGGACAGAGAGAUCCAAAAUUUUUUUCUGAUCGAUUUUGAUAUAUUGAACGUUGAAAUCAGAGCUCGUAUGCGAAAGUUAUGGCUAUUUUACAAACAGACUCCAAAUUAGAGGACAAAAUGGUCCGAAAGUGGGAAAAAUUUACGGCGGUGGUUAGAAAUUGAUGGAAACGGUGGGGGAAAAUACAUGAACUGGACUCUAACAAGACCUAACCAGCAAUAAGACCUCGACGAGGACACAAACUCAACACUGCGGACUCUGAAACUGAAAUAUGCAAAGGCUAUGACGUGGAAGGGUUGUAGGACAAGAAACGAUAUGACACUGCACUUAUGGGACGAACACAAGAACACUCAAAACUAAGGGUAGAUGUGAACCUAAAGGUAUACCUAAAGCUUUGAUUCCCACAUGAUGAGAACAAGGGUGACCCGAUCUUCUAAAAGGUUCUGGUAACUCUCGAUUUGGUGGAGACGAGACACAAAUCGAUCCGGCUUCCGAACAACACGAUCCGAAACCCUGCAAAUUUUUUUAUUUUUUUGAUAUUUUUCUUUUAGUUAGAGCACCAAAGGAGUGACCACAGAAAAUUUGAGCUUAAACCAGUGAAAGACAUGGCCUACGAAAAUUUCUGAAAAUUGUGAAAAAUGUGAAAAAAACAUCAUGAGGUGAAAACUCAAACUUCAGUUGUGAAUUUGGAGGUCCUAAAAUUUGCAAACCAGCCAAGGGAGGGGACAGACAGAUCCGAAAUUUUUUUCUGAUCGAUUUUGAUAUAUGGAACAUUGAAAUCGGAGCUCGUAUGCGAAAGUUAUGGCUAUUUUACGAACGGACUCCAAAUUAGAGGACAAAACGGUGCGAAAGUGGGCAAAAUUUACGGUGGUGGCUAGAAAUUGAUGGAAACGGUGGGGGAAAAUACAUGAACUGGACUCUAACAAGACCUAACCAGCAACAAGACCUCGACAAGGACACAAACUCAACACUGCGGACUCUGAAACUGAAAUAUGCAAAGGCUAUGACGCGGAAGGGUUGUAGGACAAGAAAACGAUAUGACACAGGAGUUAUGGGACGAACCAAGAACACUCGAAACUAAAGGUAGAUGUGAACCUAACGGUAUACCUAAAGCUUUGAUUUCCACAUAUGAGAACAAGGGUGAACCGAUCUUCUAAAAGGUUCUGGUAACUCUCGAUUUGGUGGAGACGAGACACAAAUCGAUCCGGGUUCCGAACAACACGAUCCGAAACCCUGCAAUUUUUUUUAUUUUUUUUGAUAUUUUUCUUUUAGUUAGAGCACCAAAGGAGUAACCACAGAAAAUUUGAGCUUAAACCAGUGAAAAACAUGGCCUACGAAAAUUUCUGAAAAUUGUGAAAAAUGUGAAAAACAUCACGAGGUGAAAACUCAAACUUCGGAGGUGAAUUUGGAGGUUCUAAAUUUUCAAACCUACCAAUGGAGUGACAAACAGAUCCAAAAUUUUUUCUGAUCGAUUUUGAUAUAUGGAACGUUGUAAACGGAGCUCGUAUGUGAAAGUUAUGGCUAUUUUACGAACGGACUCCAAGUUAGAGGACA